rnacentral:rRNA from 1 species
UACGGGGGAUGCGAGCGUUAUCCGGAUUUAUUGGGUUUAAAGGGUGCGUAGGCGGCGCUUCAGGUCAGCGGUGAAAUACCGGGGCUCAACCCCGGGGCUGCCGUUGAAACCGGAGCGCUAGAAUUCCGAUGCCGUCGGAGGAAUGUGUGGUGUAGCGGUGAAAUGCAUAGAUAUCACACAGAACACCGAUUGCGAAGGCAGCUUACCAAGCUACUUCUGACGUUGAGGCACGAAAGCGUGGGGAGCAAACAGG